UUUGGUUUGUUACGUGUGGUUGGCUGCGGCGUUUGCAACAACUUCCAUGCUUUCAGACCUCUUCAGUUGUGCGGCAAGGCUUGUAUCGCCUUGAGCGUGCUGUGGGUUUUCUGUGUUGGCUACCUAAUCAAUGGUAUCGGUUGGAUUGAUCAAAGUUUGAUUUCGUCUUCCGUCGCAUUCGNGGCGUGAGGUGAACCCUGAUGCGGUCUCUUUGAUCCACCUCGUCGAAGCACAUGCUUCGACGUUGUGGCACAUUGAGCAUUGCUUGGUCUCUUGUAUACGGAACAUAUAGUGGGCAUGGAUCUAACGAUUCUCAUUUGCCCUCAUGUUAGCGUAACGCUUCUCAAACACGACUUGCGCCACGUUUUAG
rnacentral:misc_RNA from 1 species